UAGUUCUGACAAAUGCAGACAGAGGUUCACCUCUGGAGCCUGAGAGCAAUGAGAACAUAAAACGCAUGCACACAAGAAGGAGACGGGUGGUGGUUUAAAGGACUCCUUCAAAAAGCUACUUGUUGAGGCAAAGUUGAAGAGCUGAAGAAGGAAUACCUGAGGCUUUUGCCGCUGACGGAAAGCAGCAAAGAGUUGCUCGACGAUUUACAGACAGAUUUGGAGUGUUGUAGACUUCAGGGCUACCAGGACUGGAAGUCCAACAUCCCAAAAUCCUGCCUUUGUGCCAAAGAGUCCACUAAUCUGUGUGUGGAAACUCUUGGAGGCAGCUGGGAGGAAAAUCAGACUGUUAUGAUUUAUGAACAGGGAUGCCUUACGUACCUUGUUGAAAUCCUCAUGCAUGGAUUUAAGAUUUAUUUUUGGGCACGUUACUGGGAUUUUUAUUAUUGUGGAUGUAGUCCCUCGUGUUGUGUAGAGCCAUCUUGUGCCAGCUGAAUCGAAACAGAGACACCUCGGUAGUGAACUAAGGUGCAGAGGCAAAAGCAGGCAACUGCACCACCCUCACAGAGCCUCCAGACCACUUCCGAUGUCUUUGCUAGUUCUGAUGCUUCCAGCAGUGAUGGCCAUUAUUUAAGCAUGCUAAAUAAUAAAUAUAUUUAUGAUAAUUGGUUAUAUUGAAUAUAUCAUAUCCUACAACUGCAUUAUGGACUGCUUUAUUAUGACUUUCUGAAUUUCAACUCAGUUGAUUGAGAUUAUUGAUCUGGGAUAUCAACACUGAGUGAAAAUGCACUGUUUAAAGCUAAUAUAACUAAACAUAUAUCGAAAACAAACUGAAUAUCAUGUGUGAAUUGUUUUAAUACUUGAUGAUUCGGUAGCUUUUAAUUUUUUUAUACUGUGUAAAAUUUGGUUUGUCGAUGUU